UACAGAGGUGCCAAGCGUUAGGCGGAAUCACUGGGCUUAAAGCGCGUGUAGGUGGGUCGUUAAGUGUCCGCGUGAAAUCCCACGGCUCAACCGUGGAACUGCCGGGCAUACUGGCGAUCUUGAGGCAUUCAGGGGCGAGCGGAACAAGUGGUGGAGCGGUGAAAUGCGUAGAUAUCGGGAGGAACACCGGUGGCGAAGGCGGUUCUCUGGGCCUUACCUGACGCUGAGGAGCGAAAGCGUGGGGAGCGAACAGG
rnacentral:rRNA from 1 species